CGCCUGGGAGUACGUCGCAGAUAAACUCAAAGAAUGACGGGGCCGCACAAGCGGUGGAGCAUGUGGUUAAUCGAAGCACGCGCAGAACUUACAUCCUUGACAUGCAGGCUACCAGAGAGAUUUGGUGUCCCUUCGGGGACCUGCACACAGGUGCUGCAUGGCUGUCGUCAGCUCGUGUCGUGAGAUGUUGGGUUAAGUCCCGCAACGAGCGCAACCCACGUCCUCAGUUGCCAUCAUUCAUUGGGCACUCUGGGGAGACUGCCGGUGAUAAGCCGGAGGAAGGUGUGGAUGACGUCAAGUCCUCAUGGCCCUUACGGGAUGGGCUACACACGUGCUACAAUGGCGGUGACAGUGGGACGCAAGCCCGCGAGGGUAAGCAAAUCUCCAAAAGCCGUCUCAGUUCGGAUUGCACUCUGCAACUCGAGUGCAUGAAGGCGGAAUCGCUAGUAAUCGUGGAUCAGAUGCCACGGUGAAUACGUUCCCGGGCCUUGAACACACCGCCCGUC
rnacentral:rRNA from 1 species